CAAAUUUCGCUUUAAAGGCACAUGGAAGCCCAAUAGCUUAGGUUCUCUUUCAACGCCGUCGCAAUUUGGCUCUCCAUCGUUACUCAAUUCAUCGCCUCCUAUCAUCUUCUAGAACCAUCCGCCGCCACCACACGCUUUCUUUCUCUACAAUUUCCUUCGCAAUCUUCACCGGUAAGCCUUUCGAAUUCUGAUUACGUACGCGUGAAAACGGUAGAACAUAGAUUCAAGAGAUCGCGCAGGCUUUAUUUUUUAGGGUUUUAUACUCUUUUUUCCGAAUUUGUUUGAUUCUGUUGUCCUUCCAUUUUGGGUUGGGAAGUCAAACGGAGGGAAUUUUUUUGGUUAUACGUUGUUUCUUUUGCUGUUAUUUAGUUCGUGCUACAUCAACUCAAGUUUUUCGAAUUCCGAUUCCGGAAGUUGAAAAUUGAAGCCAUUUGCUUUGUGGAAAUUAGUGUUUUUGUUUAUUAUCUCAAUUUGAAGAAACUAGGCUAUUUGCUUGGUGAUAGAUUGAGUCUGGGUAAGUCGGGAAAAUACGUUUGCAAACUCAAUUUCUAGGGGAGUUCCGUCAGGUCUAGGGUUUUGUUUGUGCACUCUAGCGGAUUCGUAAUUAGAUCCAUGGCCGCUGGAAGGCACGGGGGUUAUAGAGAAAAUGAAUUCAGAGACCGUGAGGCUGAUUUUGGGAUGUCAAGGAAGGAAAUUGGCUAUUCAAAUGGUGAAUAUGAGCGGGUUAGGAAAGGCAGUCGGGACUAUGAUAGGGGUCAGAUCCGGGGUCGAGGCAGUCUCGAGUAUCGGGAUAGGGUCAGAAGAAGAGAUAUCGGAGAAAAGGAGAUGAUGAAUGGUGGACAUCGCUCUACUUCUAGCAGGAGUGAUUCAGGAAGUAGUGGUGGCGCGCCUAGGAGGUGUGGGUAUAUAGUUCGCCCCAUGGAUCGAGAACCUGGGGAGCUGUCUAGUGAUGGGUCUGAUGGUGCUACUGAUUCUGAAAUUCAAUUUAAUAAUAAAGAAACUGGAGUUACAAUAUUGGAUAGUGGGAGACAGUUGUCACCUGUUCAAAAUAAAAAGAGGAAGUUUUCCCCAAUUGUUUGGGACAGAGACGAUAAGGCGGCUACUCGAACAACCAGAAGUACGAAAAUGUUGGAAAUUAAUAACUUGCCACCACUACCACCACCGCCUCCUUUGCCUGACUCCCUUAAGUCUAACUCUAUUCAUGAUGCUGUGGAACAGACCUCAUUGGUUGAAGACAAUGUUGUUGAAAUUUUUGAGGCCCCACCUUCUGAAAUUGAUUCAAUGCCUUACUUGUCAGAAUUGCCUGACGUAACAGAUUCUUUAUUACCCAAAAAAGAAGAUAGAGUUGAUGACCUGAGACCAGAGGCAAAUGAUGACGACGACUAUGUGCCACGGACUAUAACAUCAUCCAGAUGGGCAAAUGAUGCUGAGUCGCCAGCUGAUGAAGGUGAGAUUUCUGAUUAUGAGGACAACUGGAAGAUGAAGAGGAAGGCUGGUUCUGAGUCAGCGGAAGCAAGGAUAGGCAGGAAAUCAGUUAGUCCUGGGCUUGGAGAAGGUUCUGAAGGAACAAGGGCACAGUCGUUGGGAUCAGAUGAACGUGUAAGGUCUUCCAGUAGAGAUAGUUACAAUGAUACUGUUGAUAAGAAUGACUACAUAGAGGUAGAUGAUGAUCAAAAUUAUGAUUGUAGUGAUGCUAGCCAUGCUGCCUCUGAAUCAGAGGAUGAUGUUGGCUCUCAUGGUACGCCAGAACCAAUUCAUCCUCCACAGAGGAGCUUUAAUAUGCUUCAUGGUUGCAGAAGUGUUGAUGAGUUUGAACGAUUGAAUAGGAUUGACGAAGGAACAUAUGGGAUUGUUUUCAGAGCCAAGGACAAGAAAACAGGAGAAAUUGUGGCUUUGAAGAAGGUCAAGAUGAUUAAUGAGAGAGAAGGGUUUCCUUUGACUUCUCUUCGAGAAAUAAACAUUCUUCUCUCUUUUCAUCACCCAUCCAUUGUGGAUGUUAAAGAAGUUGUUGUGGGGAGCAGCCUUGACAGUAUAUAUAUGGUAAUGGAGUACAUGGAACAUGAUCUCAAAGGAUUGAUGGAGACAAUGAAACAACCUUAUAGUCAAAGUGAGGUUAAAUGUCUGAUGCUUCAGCUUUUAGAGGGGAUCAAGUAUCUUCAUGAUAAUUGGGUUCUGCACCGUGAUCUGAAAACUUCAAAUCUGCUUUUGAAUAACUGUGGUGAGUUGAAGAUCUGUGACUUUGGACUGGCUCGUCAAUAUGGCAGUCCUCUGAAACCUUAUACUUCCCUGGUCGUGACUUUGUGGUACAGGGCACCAGAACUUCUGUUAGGAGCAAAGCAGUACUCGACGGCAAUUGAUAUGUGGUCGCUUGGGUGCAUAAUGGCUGAGCUAUUGUCGAAAGAACCUUUGUUCAAUGGGAAGUCAGAGGUUGAGCAGCUUGGCAAGAUAUUCAAGAUUCUUGGCACCCCCAAUGAGACAAUAUGGCCUGGCCUUUCUGACCUCCCUGGUGCAAAGGUGAACUUCGUCAAGCAUAAGUACAACCUUUUGCGCAAGAAAUUUCCGGCCACAUCUUUUACUGGGACACCUGUUCUAUCUGAUGCUGGAUUUGACCUUUUGAACAAGCUUUUAACUUAUGACCCUCAGAAGAGGAUAACUGCUGAAGCUGCUCUCAACCAUGAAUGGUUUCGUGAAGUCCCGCUACCUAAGACUAAGGAAUUUAUGCCUACUUUUCCUGCUCAACAUGCACAAGACAGGCGCAUGAGAAGAGUAAUGAAGAGUCCAGACCCACUAGAGGAGCUGAAGAGGAAGGAAAAGCAAGGAGAGCUAGGAACUGGUGGUUUAUUUGGCCAAUAGCUUCUGUUUUUUGUUCUUCUUUGGGUUCAGCCAUAUCUGGGACGAACAUGAUUGAGGUGAGAGCAAAAGGAAGUUGCACACAUUGAUUGUGUGACUAUUACUCGUGCUGUUUUUUAUCAGGCACAUAUGAUGCAGUAGUGGGAAAAACUUUGUUUGGCCUGUACUUGUGAAUCAGAUAUGUUGCAGGCUGGCUUUUCUUGUGGGGUUGGCUGACAAUUUGGAUCCAGCUCUGAUGCUUGCCCAAAAAGAGAUGGUGAUGUAAAGUGGAGGGGAGAUUCUUAGCUUUUCAUUGCCGAAGAAUUUGACCCCAAGUUUAGCACUCUGGAGGAGUAUCCAAGCAAGCAGGCUCGUGAGUUCAGUCACGUAGGUUGGCUCUCUAAAUGUCCAAAUUAUUUUCUGUCAUACGCUUCUCCUGAAGCUCUAGAGGUACACAACAACUUUAUUGUUCUAUUAAAUUAUUUAAGCAACUAUUAUGUACUUCGGCGUAAGGUUUUUUGAUCUAUCUCUCCCGACUUCAGUGAAAAAAUAUCCUUCCAACAUUUUAAUGUAAGCAGUCAAAAUACCUUUUGACUGAUAAAGGGCAUAAAUAGUGUUUAUUGUUCUUUUUGUCUGGCUGUCGAUGGGCAUGGGCAUACUAAUUUUGUUAUAUCGUGCAGCUUAGUUCCUACCAGUUUUGCCAUUAUUGUUGGUGUUAUUUUCCUUUUCAUUAUGGCUAUUGGCUAGACCCUUAAUGCAUUUGUGCUCUUGUCAUGUCUCUUGCUAUGUAAGAAGUCUUCUUUUGUUCAGAGGCGCCAGCGUAUCCAUGGGAACGUCUAAACCCUCGACUUAUGUAAGCUUCAGAUAAUUACUGCAUGCAUAGUAAACUGUAGAAUGGCUACAGACUCUUGGACGUAUGUGGUGUUAUAUCUCUCUUCUGCUUGAAUUCUGUAUAAUGUCACGAGACUCACGACUUGAUCAGUUGUAUGCUUUCUCAUUCAUCUUCCUUGUGAUGAUCCAUAAUUAUGUAAUUUUGGAAUAAUCUUUAUUGCGUACUGUAGAACAGCUUUUGAAGUGCCUCUAUCCAAACUCUAAUUCUUUAGUUGACCUGAAAAAUGUUCUUAGUUGAAAAAACAGAGAAACCAAAUUGAGAUCCUUAAUUAGGUUUGGUUGCCACUUGCAUGGAUUAACAGGUUGCUAUGUUCUAGAGCAGUGUAUGAACUAGAGGAAGCUACCACACACCAUGGUCAUAUCUGUGAUCAAGUUCAUUAAGCAUCCAUGUUGGUAAAAUUGAAGGGAGGUUUUUUCUGAUCACUAUUCCCUUGGACUGUAUUUUUCGUUGACAGUGGUGACCAUAUAUCUCUAUUGUGGCAGGAAUCCUAAAACCUGGCUAAUUUGCGAUGCAGGUACCAUGAUUUUGUGCGUUAGAGAUUAGACAGAAAUUUCUGGUGAUUGAUAUAUUUACUUGCUUUGGCUAUUAGUUGUCCUGAUAAAUGAUUAUGAAUGUGCUUUGUGACUUUACAAUGUUGAUGAAAGAAUAGCUAACUUCUUAACCGUUCAACUUCCCCCAAUUGUCAUCCACCCUGAACACAUGAUUCAUCUGGCAGUUAAUAGCGAUCACUUAUUUCUUGGGGGGUGGAGGUUGAAGAAUGUGUUUCUUUCCUUGAAUUUUAGUUUCAUUCCUGGUAGUAAGAGAACAAUUGCUCUAUACUGCAAGGGAAGCUGAACUGGUCCUUUUUUACUAGCUGUUCAUUUAUUAGGUCAUGGAGAACAUAUUUUUUAGGGUUUGUUCAUGUAAGGGAGAUGAUGCGAAAUCAACAGCUGGAAUUUAGAAAGGAGGCUCAUAGCCUGGUAUGUGGAGUGGACCACAUUAUAUUAGAGUUAUUGGAGACCACUUAUUGGAUAUUUGGUGAAUUAAAUGGAAGGCUAGUAAUUGCGAGCGGUAUUUCUUGUUGGUUGAGCAUUGGUACAUAAAAAGUUAUUUAGGGACUUGUGAACCAGGGUUAGAUAAUCAAUCUUCUUCUUGUGUGUUGAUGGGAGCUGGAAAUUUGAACUGUUUCCUACUUUCUGAUGUUUUGACAUGCGUACAGCAGCUAUGUAGUCGCUUGACAUUUAUGUGACAAAAAGGUCACUGGUCAGAUUAUUGACCAGAUCGAAUUUGAAAGUAGUAGCAGCAGGUUCUGAUCAUAGUUUCAGUAGCAAGUGGUACCCGGUGUGGAGCGUUAUCUUGCCUGCAAGCGGACCGGAGUGGCCUUGGUGCUGCAUGUGCGUGGUGGCGGAUUCUGUUUUACUAAAUGUUGGUUUUCUAUGAAAUAUGUUUCCAUGCUUUAUAACUGUUGGAGCAUAAUUUGCCAAUAAUGUGCAAUAUGAAAUUAAAUUGUGC